UUUUUCCAAAUUCACCUCUCUUCCUUCUUUGCUUUCUCAAAUUUGAGUCUUAAAUCACUUAUUCUAGAAAAUUCCUCUUUCAUAAUGCGUUUUGCAACAAGAUAUAAAGGUUCUUCAAUUGUGAAUCUACGUGCCACCCAAGUCCACUCUAUGGAAUAUUCAAGCAUAGAUAAAGAGCUUAAUUUGUUUCAAAAACAUGUAUCUGAUAGGUUCAAUGAACUAUCAUCUAUUUCAAAUGAUAAUUUGUUAUCUCUUUCUUGGGUUAGUAAGCUUCUUGACACAUUCCUUUGUUGCCAAGAGGAAUUCAAGAUGAUUCUACACAACAAUAGAUCAAUGGUUUGUAAACCUCCGUUGGAUCGAUUGGUGAAUGAUUUUUAUGAGAGGAGUGUCAAGGCAUUGGAUGUAUGCAAUGCUAUUAGAGACGGUGUUGAACAAAUUCGACAAUGGGAAAAAUCGUUAGAGAUUGUUCUUUGUGCAUUGGAUCAUAAAAGAAUCAUUGGGGAAGGCCAAUUUCGUCGCGCUAAGAAAGCUCUUGUUGAUUUAGAAAUUGGUAAGAUUGAUGCUAGUAGUAAAGAUUCUAAUAAUGUUUCUUCCUUUGGUAAUAGAAAUAGAUCAUUUGGUAGAAACAUUGUUAGUAAAGAUAAAGAUUCAUCACAAGUUGGUCAUUUUAGAUCACUUUCUUGGAGUGUAUCAAGGAAUUGGUCAGCUGCAAAACAACUACAAGCACUAGGGACCAAUCUUUGUUUUCCAAAGAGUAAUGAACUUGUUGCUACAAAUGGUCUUGCAUUGGCUAUUUAUACAAUGAGUUCAAUUUUGUUGUUUACAAUGUGGUCACUUGUGGCUGCAAUUCCUUGUCAAGAAAGGGGCUUACAUCUCAACUUUUCGGUUCCACGGCAGCUUCCAUGGGCGUCUCCAAUGAUGUCAUUGCACGAGCGGAUUUUGGAGAAGUCGAAGAAGAGGGAGAGGAAGAAUUGUUGCGGACUUUUGAAGGAGAUUCAGGAGAUUGAGAAGUGUGCUAGGGGGAUGAAUGAAUUGGCUGAUUCUUUGGAAUUUCCUUUGAGUGAAGAGAAAGAAGAGGAAGUUAGGGUUAAUGUUGAAGAUGUGGUGAAUGUUUGUGAAGGUUUGAAAGAUGGAUUGGAUCCUUUGGAAAGACAAGUUAGAGAAGUAUUUCAUAGAAUUGUUCGUGGUAGAAUGGAAGGGCUUGAUUCUGUUUCUUAAAAGUAAUUAAAACAUUAGAUUUAGAUGCCAUAAACUUGAUGGAACAACCAUAAAAGAUAUAGGUAUAUGUAAAAGGAUGGUUUUUUUUUUUUUUUUUAUUAUUCUUUUUUAUCCAUUUAACAUACAUAAAAUGUAUAGAGUUUGUAACCAAAAAAAAAAUGUGUAUAGAGUUUAGGUUUUGAAUUAGGCUUCGUGGUCUAUACUCUUUGAAUUAGAUUUUGAAUUAUAGCUAAUUCUGUUUAUUAAUAUACUAUAUAUCAUAUGCAUUAGUUUUCCUAAUUUAACAUGUCAAUUUUUAUUUUGUUUAGUCAACUAUAAUACAUAUGAGUUAUUUGAAACCAAUAAAAUCUCUAACAAAAGUUUAGCAAUGAAAGAUUUUGAGUAAAUCUCUUUAGUAUUAUGCAUUUUGAUAUUUAGAGAUUAUUCUAAAGAUAUCAUUCAGAUCACGCGAAAUAGUUAUAUCAAUAAAGUAGAAAAUAAAUUUACAUAAAAGAUAAUAAAUAAUGGAUAAUCUCAAUCAGCAUAAGAGACUAUUUAGUCUACAAUAAUGGCCAUUAGAAAAUUUAUAAAUUCUGGAAAUCAAAGAUUUUUCUAUGCUUCGGCUAUAGAAAUAUUGUGUGUAAAUAGGGAUGGCAAAGAGGACCGCCACACCGUCUAAACCUGCUUAAAAUAGGAUAAGACAAGUUGAGUCAAAUUAGGUGAUCGAGUCCAAAAUCUUACCCCACCUUAAUUAAUGGCGGACAAAUGAGUUGGCGGGCCGACCCGCCAAACAAAAAACUUUGUUUUUUACAGAGCAAAAAACAAUUUUAUUAAUGCAUAUUUUUUACAACUUAAUUGUUACAAAAGAAUUAUGUUGUUUUUAUCGUUAAAAAAAUAUAAAAGAAUAGACAUCGACCAAACUUAUGGUAAAAAUAAGAUAAUUAAAAAAUUAUCGAUCUCAACAUCAUACUUAAUAUCAAAAUAAGAAAAAUCCACAACAUAAAAUAAAUCCCCGUGCCCAUCCCGUUUUUCCAACAAGUCAAACUGGGCACACCACCUAUUGGAAACGAGUUCAAAAUUAUACUUGACCGCCGCCAACCCUAUGUUGUAUGUUUCUGACCACCUAAUCUCUCUUUGUUACGAAAGGUUAUAUCCAAUUAUUCAUAAUACCCAAUUUUUAAUAUCUUGAUAAAUUAAACAUGUCACAAAUCUUAAUUUAUAUUCAUGACCGUUUGUUUAUUUCACAAAAGUUUUAAUCUUUAUAGAAACAUGUAUUGUUUUUUAUGAUUUAUUAUUUAUUUUUUAUUACAACUCUAUAUACUACCUCCGUCCCUAAUUACAAAGCCCUUUUGAAAAAAUAACGGGAAUUAAGAUAGUGGAUAUUUGUAUUAAAUAUGUUUGUAAUGACUAUUGUUUUUACAAUUUUAUCCUUUAAGAAAGAGGGUUGACUUAUGUUUUCAACAUUCUAUUUAUUGCUUAUUGAAGAAAAAGAUGUAUAAUAAAUAGGGGCAUGUAUGUAAAGAAAUAAUUAACGUAGUUGGAAAUAGAAAAUGAGUUUUAUAAAAAGCGACAAAAAAUUUUCUCAAAAGGAUCUUAUAAUUAAGGACGGAGGUAGUAACAUUUUUGUUUUUGAAGGACGCUUUAUAUAGCAUGUAUUGUUUUUGAUUUGAUGAUUUAUUAAAUUAAAUUCCACAAUUUGUUUAUAGACAAAAAAAAUAUUACUCCCUCUGUUUCAAAAUGAACGUCGUUUAAGAUUUUUACACACAUAUUAAGAAAUGCAUUAAUUAAAAGAAAGAGAGAUGUUAUUUUACCAAAUUAUCUUAAUCAACUAUCGGUUUGUUUUUCAUUAAAGAAAAAAUACUUUGAAAGUAGUGUAUAUAGUAUUAAUUGAACGGUAAAAUUAAAAAAAAAAUAUAUUAUUAUUGUAUUGAAAACUGAACGUGACAUUUAUUUUAUUUUAAAACAAUUUUUAUUUUAUUUUUAAAAGGACACUUAUAUUAAAACAAAAGGAGUAUAUAACUCUUAUUUUUUCUUUCUUGUACCGAGUACCAUCAACAACUUUAAUUUAAUUAUUUUUUUAAGGAUGACUUGACCCUCUUUGUGAUGGGUACCCUGUCUAGAAUCUCACUAAAUUCCAUCUCUUUCUAAGUUCCGAUUUCCAAUUAUCUUUCUCUAAAUUCUAACUACUUUUUCCCACCUAGUUUCGGUACCCGUUAGUUCUACUUUUUACAACUACUUAUUUUUUUUAUUUCUUAUCUUUUUAAAUUAUCCAACAACCAUUAAUAAACGCGGUCCAAUCUUCCCCAAUAAAAGCAAUCAUUAUUAUAACUCUUUUUUCCAAAUUAACCUCUAUUCCUUCUUUGCUUUCUUACUUUUUCCUUUCUAUUCAAUCCAUUCCCCAAAUUUGAGUCUUAAAUCACUUAUUCUAGAAAAUUUCUCUUUGAGAAUGCGUUUUGCAACAAAAUAUAAAGGUUCUUCAAUUCUAAAUCUACAUGCCACUCAAGUUCACUCAAUGGAAAAUUCAACCUUAGAUAAAGAGCUUAGCUUGUUUCAAAAACAUGUAACUGAUAGGUUCAAUGAGCUAUCUUUAGUUUCAAAUGAUAAUUUGUUAUCUCUUUCUUGGGUUAGUAAGCUUCUUGACACAUUCCUUUGUUGCCAAGAGGAAUUCAAGAUGAUUCUACACAACCAUAGAUCAAUGGUUUGUAAACCUCCGUUGGAUCGAUUGGUGAAUGAUUUUUAUGAGAGGAGUGUCAAGGCAUUGGAAGUAUGCAAUGCUAUUAGAGACGGUGUUGAACAAAUUCGACAAUGGGAAAAAUCGUUAGAGAUUGUUCUUUGUGCAUUGGAUCAUAAAAGAAUCAUUGGGGAAGGCCAAUUUCGUCGCGCUAAGAAAGCUCUUGUUGAUUUAGAAAUUGGUAUGAUUGAUGCUAGUAGUAAAGAUUCUAAUAAUGUUUCUUCCUUUGGUAAUAGAAAUAGAUCAUUUGGUAGAAACAAUGUUAAUGGAGAUAAAGGGUCAUCUCAAGUUGGCAUUUUAGAUCACUUUCUUGGAGUGUAUCAAGGAAUUGGUCAGCUGCAAAACAACUACAAGCAAUAGGGACCCAUCUUUGUUUUCCUAAGAGUAAUGAACUUGUUGCUACAAAUGGUCUUGCAUCGACUAUUUAUACAAUGAGUUCAAUUUUGUUGUUUACAAUGUGGUCACUUGUGGCUGCAUUUCCUUGUCAAGAUAGGGAAUUGAAUCUAAAUUUUUCGGUUCCACGGCAACUUCAAUGGGCGGCUCCGGUGAUAUCAUUGCACGUGCGGAUGUUGGGGAAGUCGAAGAAGAGGGAGAUGAAGAGUUGUUGCGGACUUUUGAGGGAGAUUCAGGAGAUUGAGAAGUGUGCUAGGGGGAUGAAUGAAUUGGCUGAUUCUGUGGAAUUUCCUUUGAGUGAAGAGAAAGAAGAGGAACUUAGGGUUAAAGUUGCAGAUGUGGUGAUUGUUUGUGAAAGUUUGAAAGAUGGAUUGGAUCCUUUCGUAAUACAAGUCAGAGAAGUGUUUCAUAGAAUUGUUCGUGGUAGAAUGGAAGGGCUUGAUUGUCUUUGCUUGAGAGUAAUAAAAACAUUAGAUUUAGAUGCCAUAAUCUUGAUGGAAUAACCAUAAAAGAUAUAGUUAUGUAAAAAAAAACCUUAACAUACAUAAAUUGUAUAGAGUUUGUAACCCAAAAAAAAAAAAAAAUAGGUAUAGAGUUUAGGUUUGGAAUUAGGCCUUCGUGGUCUAUGAUCUUUGAUUUUGUCCCUUAGUUUAUUGUCUCAUGAUCUUGGUUACUGGAUAAUCAAUUUUCUAUGUGCAUUUGUUAAUAUUCAGUUUCUUACGUGUAGUUUUAUUUAUGCAUCUUAAUAGCAUAUCCAUAUUUUAUGUGGGGUUGAGACAUGAUUUAUACUAGAAGCAAUUACAUUAACCUCCCUCCCAUAUAUUUUUUAAAGUGGGACGAGCAACAUUCAAGCUGGGUUCCGUUUGGUUCGAGCGUUUUGGAGGGGAGGGGAGGAGAGAUUUUUAAUUUCAAGUGUUUGGUUCAACUUUUAGAAAGGGAGGGGAGGGGAGAGAGGAUGUGAGCAAAUUUUAUUGCAUCGCCAAUCAGUAGUUCAAAUAGGAGAGAUUCAAUUACAUAACAGGGGGUACAACUGAGUUAACCAAAAUAAAAACUAAAGAGAAAUUGUCCAAAUAACAAUAUAAAAACUACAAAAUAAAGGUGUUGAAACAAAAUAAGGCGGAACAUAAAAGUGAGUUGAACCAUCAGUAGUUCACUCAACCCAUCUGAUCACGGUCAAUCCAACUAUUGGGGUUGCCGGUAUCCAUCUGUUCAGUUCCAUGUAGGACUCCUCACCAAAAUGUGACCUAGACCUAGCCUCAUCUGCAUUAAAAUCCUUGGAGAUCUCCCACUCUGCACAACGUGAGAAGCAACUCUUCCCACUGCUCGUCAGUCCAAUCCUUGCCCUCAUCCUUCCGCCUCUGAACAUUGUAACAACUCGAUUUUUAGUUAGAUUUAUUUUAAUUAUUUUAAUUAUGUGUUUAUAUGUGUUUGUGUGUGAUUAUCCAUCAUUGGGUGCAUUUUCAUGGGUUUCCAUGUUAGAAGGGUAUUUUAGUCAUUUUGGACUUAGGGGUAUUUUGGUCAUUUUGUAAGGACAGAUAAAAUUAUAAGUUUUGGCGAGAGUUACUCUUAGUGGUUAGUGAGAAUAGUUAUUUUACUAAGUUACUAGGGUAAAACUAAGAUUUUACCAUUUAGUGACCGUUAGUGACAUUUCACCAUUAUUAGUGAAUUACCGGUUAGAGUGUUGAAACAUUUGAGGUGUGAAUAGAAAUGGGUUAAGUCCAUUAAGUUGAGAGUUAUGCCCAAUUGUGAGACACACUAUAACAUACUCUUAUGAGAAAUUUUCACACACUUCCAUUACACUAAGAUAUUUUGGAGAGAAUAGAGAGAGAAAGUGGGAACAAGAGGAGAAAAGGGUUAGAGAGAAGAGGACUUGAAGAAUCAAGGACUUGGGGAGAGCUAGGAGCAAAAUUUAAGCCUAAGCUAGGGAGAUUAACCUACUAAGGUAAGGGGGUUAGAAUUUAUCAUAAUCACUUAUUGUAAUUUUCAAUUAUGUUUGUAUGAAAAGUGCUAAAUUGGGUGAAUUGAUUAAUUGUUCAUAAGUGAUGAAAUUCGUGCUUUAAUUAUGAUGACAUGUUUAGAUGUAUGAAGUUAUGAAUGAUUGAAUUGUUGUUAGUUGAAUUGUAUGUUGAAGUAUGAAAAAUGGGUAUGAGUUGGAAAUAUGCUCAAUUGGUGAAUUAUGCAUUGUUGUUGAUGAAUUGUGAUAAGUUUCAAGAUCAAUUGUUGUUGCUGAUGUUAAGUCAUGUUGUUGAUGAUAAUUCGUGGCUUGGGUUGCAUGAUUCUUGAUUUUGUUAUGGAGAAAUGAGAUGUUGUUGGUGUUUUGAUGAAAAUUGUGAAUUGGUUCAUUUGUCAAGUGUUUUCAAGUUUGAUUGAGUCUUGGUGAGUCUUUUUAGUCAUAUUGACCUAUAAACAUGUCCUGGAAACACCUUUUGGCAAUCAAAAUUGGGGAUUUGGAGUGAAAAGGGGUUCAAACCCGUAACAUUUUCUGCAAACCUGUGAAGGUUCGCUUAGAGGUUCGCUUAAGCGACCUGGUAAGAGAACAUACAUAGUGAUUUUCUAGGUUGGAUCGCUUAAGCGACCGGUGAGCGAGCUGGCAAGCAAACCUUACUGGUAGCUACUGGAACUCGUUCGCUUAAACGAACCAGGUGGUCGCUUAAGCGAAGUGAUGAGCGACCAGUAAGCGAACUUUCAAUUGGCUACUGUAACUCGUUCGCUUAAGCGAACCAGGUGGUCGCUUAAGCGAACCUGUUCCAUUUCAGCCACUUUAAUCUUUUGUUCCGGAUCUUUGGGGGCCAAUCUAAGCUUUCUUAGAUGAUUCUUUAAACAUGUUUAACUAUUAUUAAUCCCCUAAAACCUACUGGAACAAUGAUUAGCUUGCAUAACUAGAAUUUCUUCAUUUGAGUCUUAACUUGGGAAAUUUUGGGAAUUUUGAACUUUGUCGAAAACAAGUUUUGUAAACAAAUGAAGCUUGCAAGUUGAACCUACAACUCAUAUAGACUUAGGUAAGACUUGUAAGAGUGGUCAAACAUCUUAAUCAUGUAAAAGUGAUUUUCGGGUGGGAAUGUGAAAGGUUGUGAAAAUGGGGUUUUAUAUGAACUUAAGUUAUUCUCGGGUUGAUGACUAAUGAUCCGGAGGUAGCCUAAGUUCAUGAUUAUAUUUUCGAUUAAGAUUGUUUGAAGGUUAUUCCACUUGUCUAUGUCGUUUUACUUUGGAAUUUGUCAAUGUUGGUCGGUGACCACUUGAUAUAGUUUUGGUCGGAAAUGUUUCUUAAACCAAUUGUCUUAUGAAUUGUUAUGAUAUUCCUAUAUGACUAAGUGAAGUUGUAUGAAUGAAUGAUUGUAUUGGGAUGAGUAUGCUAUCUUACUUAGGAUGUAAGAAAUGCUUGAAUUGGUGAAACCACAUGUGGUAAUUGAUGUUGAGUGACAUUUGUUGAUUUUGAGAAUCAUGUUGACAUGAGAUGAUGAAUACUAUGAAUUAAUUGUGUAUGGGCAUGUUUUCUUGAUAAUGCAAUGUUGUGGAGGUAAUCAAUAUAAUUGGAUAUAGACCUAUAUAUUGAGGUGAAAAUUAUGGAUUGUAGUCGCAUUAUCGAGUCCUUGUACAUGUCCAUGCAUCAUAGUAGUGUUGAGAUUUUAUAUGAUGUUUUAUUCAUAUUUUGGUUUCGGCCUAGCAGAGAUCUGUUGAGAUCUAGUUGUGGACUUCGGUCUUGCAGAGAUCCUUAGUGAUCUAGAUUUGUGGGCUUCGGCCUUGCAGAGACCUUUGACGGUCUAGAUUUAGGUGACGACCUUGAGAUGAUAUGGUACCACAUGCAUAUUUGUGUCGGUCUAUAUACACAUCAUGCAUGAGUCUUAUCGAUUGAAUGUGACAGGUGAUUGUGUAUGAAUAAUUGUGAAUUGAUAUUUGUUCAUGACACAUGUGAUUGGUGAAUAUUAAUGUGAGAUAUUGGGGUUGAUGUAAGUAUAUUUUUUAGAAUAUUAUUAUUGAUCAAAUGCUUGAUGUUAAAUUGAAAUAUUCAUGUUAACUGUAUUUGGAUUAUGAUGAUGUAAUACUUACCCCAGUGGUUUUAACCGUUUACCUGUCUGUAUGGAUGGGUAGACGUUGUGCAGGAGUAGUGCUUGGUGAGUUUUGUGCUUGGUGGAUAUCGGGAGUUUUCUCCGAUAUCGGUGUUUACUGUUUAGUCGGCUCUGAUCUAGGCUUCGUUGUGUCGGUCUAGAUUAUCUUUUAUUUUGGACUUGUUUAUAUUUGGAGAUUACCCGUGUGUUGGGAUUUUUCAGAUGCAUCUAUGUUGAUGUAAUUAUUGAUUCAUAACAUGUAUUUUUGGAUUACUCUGAUUUAUAUUCCGCUGCGACUGUUGAGGUUUACAUACAUGUUUAUGGUUUUUGAAUUUUGAAUGUGGCGUAGCCUCUAUUUCUUGAAUAAAUGCAUUAUUCGCAUGUUUAAUUGCUUUAAUAGAAAUAGGAGUGUUACAAACAUCACAUUGUUCAGGGGGAGUUAACUCUAGCAAACUAUUAAUAGACUCAGGGAUAUAAUUGAUAGAUAUUUGGCAAGUGAACCAAAUUCGAUCGAAGUAAUAAAAAGUUCGUUUCCACGAGGACUAUAUUUAACUUCUACUUAGCAAUUUCAUUAUUAAAAAGGAUGUAUAAAUUUAUAUUGGUGCCCUAGGCAGUUGAGUUGAUUUAGUAACAUAAACUGAUUAAAAACAAUAAAGAAUUGGUUUUUCAGAAAAUUGAGAGAAGUAUGGUUAAGUCCUUCGAAUCCUCCAAAGCUCUCCUAUGGUAAUUUGCACUCCUAAAUAUGAUCAAUGAUUAUUUAGUUUCACGACGGAUUAACUUAGUAAUUCUACCCAAUCUCUUGACCUAGAAUUCUCCCCGCAAGUGACAACCCCUUAAUCUCUUAAGUGAAUUCGAAACCAUUGGAGGUAUUAACGAACGUUAAUCCCUAUAUCAUAACCUAAUAAUGAUCUAUCUCUAACUUGAUUACUUAGGUUAAACCUAUUACCUAAUUCAGAGUUAAGAGCCAGGGUUAGUGGUCAUUCAAUUUCUAUGAUCAAUAUGCAUAUUCAUAACGCUAGGGUUAAUAGUCUAUCAUAAACGUACAUAAGGCAUUAAGCACAAAGUAAUAUGAAUAAAAACUAAACUUUCAUUUAUGUUCAAAGGAGUUCAACAAAUUAGGGUUCCCAUAGGAUUACAUCAGAUUCAUCUCAGGAAUUAACCACAAAAGAAUUAGUUACUCAUAGCUAACGUAUAAGCUAACUAACACAAGAAAAAGGAUUCAUACAUGUGAAGGAUGAUUGACUCUUAGUUUUGAUGGUUUCCAACCAGAUCUCCAAGUCUCUGCUCCAAAAUAUGCCUUUAGGUCUCAAAAUUCGUGAACCCUUCUUCAGAAAACGCCUCUUACUAUUUAUAGGCUAAUGAAAAUCGGCCACCGAGCUCCGAAAUCGGUGGCCGAAAUCCCAAACUGCGUGCCCCAAUAGUGCAGAAUCGGCGCCCGAUUUAUGCUUAUCGGCGGCCGAUUUUUGUCGAACUCAAAGUCUGUAAAUUGGCAGCAAAGCCGAUUUAUCUAAUCGGUGGCCGAUUUCAAUACUUCAAACUUCAUUUUCUUUGUCUUUUUUGGCUUGCAGCUUCAUGAAUUCCAAUAAGAAACCCCCUAAAAUUACAUGAAAAAUGCCUACUAAAAGAGUAAUGACAGAAUGUCAUCAAUAAUCAAUCAAAUUGCCCCUCGCAUAAGACUCGUACUUCUUUCUCGAGAAUCAAGCAUUUGCAUAAAACUCCAAAGUGAGUGUGUUGUGCACUUGCUCGAACACCAUUCCAUUCAGCAAAUCUCAUCCCUGUGUCCUUAUUGAGGCCUCAAACUCAGGGUUUCUCACAAGUUUUAGAAGGUCAAAGACCCUAUCUUGAAUCACCUAGUAUGACUUGGUGUUCUUGAAACGGUCCUUGGCAUGGUUGUUCGAGAAUCUGCCGGUAACAGAUGGUGGUGGUUUGUGUAACACCCCGUUUUCCCAACUUAAAAAUUUCAUAACAUUUAUCAGAGUAUUCAACACAUAAACAGAAUGCUACACUUCUUAAAAAUCAUAAAUGAGAUAAAUAACAAUUUAUCCUUCAACAUAAAUUAUCCAAAACUUCGCAGCGGAUUUAAUAUAACAUCAUAAAUAGUCUUGGCACGUAGGCCUCAUCAAAACAUCUCAUAAAAUUCAAUUAACAACUUAAUCAUAAGAAUUCAUAGUCAAAUACGUAAGGAAUAGAAAAUAUCCACAAAAGAUCUCAUCCCGUUACGUAUCAGAGCACCUAAAAGACUCAGUGAGGGAUAGCCACUCACGACAGCAAACAACAGCAACCUACUCUUGAUCACCUGCAAGUUACUCAUACAAAUAGCAACAUUUCCAAGCAAAAGGGGUGAGAUUUCACAAAACAAUAAUAUUAAACAAUAUAAUUCAAAAAUUAUAUUUAACAACAUGAAAACAUCAUAAUAUCAUCAUAGAUAAAUAUAUAUCAUAUUACUUCAUCAACAGCUCAUAUAAAGAAUCACAACUUAACAUCUUAACAACUUAACAACUCUGACUUGACAAUGCGACUUCAACUUGACUAUGCAACUUAAACCUCUUAUAUGCAUGUGGUACCAAUCCAAGACAACAAGCCCUCAAUGUAUUAAGUAUUAAUAUACUUCCAAGGCAUCAAGCCCCUAACUUAAUUGAGCUAAAGCUCUAGGGCAUCAAGCCCCCAACGUAGUGAGCAACGACUCCAGGGCAUCAAGCCCCCAACAAUGAAUGCUAAUGCAUGGACUCAACAAUUCAACCUCUUAUAAACAACGACCUCUUAUAUACUUCCAAUAAUUUGGUGUUUCUGAAUACCCAUUUUGUUCCAAUAAUGUUCUUCUGAAAAGGUUUGGGUACAAGAUCCCACACAUCAUUCCUUUGAAACUGAUUUAGCUCUUCUUCCACCAUGGAUACACAUGCUGCCACCAUCAAAACCUAACCUUUCAAAAAUUUCCGAACAGAGAGAAGGAGAGGGAGGCUCGGCUAUGGCAGAGGGAAAGUGUGAAUUAACCUGGUUGAUUGUAUGCAAUAGGUCCAAGAAUCAAGAUUAUGCACUUGCAUGUUGGUUUAGUUGGAAAAUUUGGCAGAGUAACUUUACCUAUGGAAGUUGUGAUAAUAGGUGGAAUGAAGGUUUUAUUUAUAGGCUGGUUAUAUGGUGACACGGUUGUGUGUAAUCGUGUCUCGAUUUGGUUUGUAACGGUCAGAUUUUUGAAAAACCACCAAAUCGUGACACGAUUGGGUAUCAUGGUGUCCCAAUUGCUCAAGAUUGCCAAUUUUGAAAAAUUUUAAGUUCCAGAAAUCAUGACACAAAUUGGCCAUUGUGUCCCGAUUUUACAAUGUCGUGAGGACAACUUUUUGGACUUAGAAAAAAAUUAAGAGCUUCAGAGGGAGGCAAAAUCGUGUCACGAUGUACCCAAAUCGUGUCACGAUUUUGUAAGAAAAUUUUCUUUCAUCUCUUUUUGUUUCCGCUAAAAGUAUAUAUUUUUUAUACUGAAAUUUAAUAAAAAUAAAGCAAUACCUGAAAGUAAAAAUGGUGGGUUGCCUCCCACCAAACGCUUUCUUUUACGUCAUUGAGUUUGACGCUUCAACCACUAUUAGGGUGGCAAAAAUGAUAGAAAGAAUAUAUGACCCUUCUUCUUCCUCUUGUUUGGCAGGAAUUCCACUUGGCAUAAAGAAUCAGAUACUCACAUGCAUUCAUUGUUAAUCCUUUGGAAUUUAAGUUAUCACACCUUAGAAAAGGACAUGCAUCCAUUUUCACAUGAAUGAUUUCUUUAACUGUCGUUGGUUUAGACUUUGGGAAAAAAUCAACAUUCCUCACUCGGUCUCCAUCUGAACCAACUUUUUUUUAGACUCGUAUGAUUUCUCAACAAGAUCACUACAAUAAGCAUCAAACUUCUCAAAUGAAACUUGAUUUGACAUCAAGAAAUCAUCUAAAAUAUUUUGAAGUUGUUAUUGUAAUUGAUGUUGAUCACCUAUUUCUUCCCUUCACAAUCACUACCUGAUUGAUUUGCCUCAUAAUGAUCACAUAUCGCAUUUAAUAUUGAAAUUUUAUCGUCCCAAUGCGGUAUCUUGCGAGAUAACAAAUAUUUUUCAUACAACACCGUAGCAAUAUCUUCUGUGUCAUAAAGGCAGAACCUGUCUAUCAUAGCUGCAAAACUUGGAUAAACUUUUUGGUAGCAAAGAACAAUGAGAUACACAUGAAGAGCAUAAAUCAUAAUAUUUUUUUUUUAAUAUAUAAACAAAAAUAUAAAUGACAGAAAUCCUAAAUUAUAGCGCAACUGCCUUGUUCAAAUAAUUCAAAAGUCCCCGGCAGCGGCGCCAUAAACUUGAUAGAAAUUUAGCAAGUGUACUAAAAACCAUCGAAGUAAUGCAAUUAAAUUUGUUUCCACGAGGACCGUGUUAAUCUCAAGUAAACAAUAGCGUUAUGAAAUAGGAUGUUUAAUGUUUAUUUUAGUGCCCGAGGUAGUAGGUUUGUUUUGCAUAACAAGUAAAUAGCAGAAAAUAAAGUUGUUUAUAAAAUAUAGAGAGAGAUGAGAGUAGGUCUUUUGAAUCCUCUAAGUUCCCCUAAUUGGUACACUGCACCUAUUUCUCAUGAAUAUUUCUCUAGUUUUACGAUGAUUAACUAAAAUAGCCCUAAUCAAUCCCUUGACUUAGGACCCUCUUCUCAGAUUAUAGUCCCUAACUCCUUAAGUGAUCUAAUAUUCUUAGAAGAUUUGAAGAACAUUAACCUAAUAUCACAAAUAAACGAUUAUCCAUUCCUAGACUAACGAUGUUUAUUUGAACAAUUCAAUUAGGUCUAAGUUGAAAGUUAUGAUCAGUAGUCAUUCAUUCUUACGAAAUCAUGUUUAUAUUUGAUCAAGAUAUAAAAAGCAUUAAGAAAUAUUGAAUUGAAUAAAACUAGAUUGAUAUUCACAAUAAUAGAGCUUCACAACAACAUGGUUCAAUUAGGGUUACAUCAGAAUCAUCUCAGACCUAUCCUCUAAGAGAUUUAGCUACACAUGGUAACUAAGAAACAAGAUAUAAAAGAUAAAAAGAUACCCUAGAAAAUCAAAGAGAAGAUAGAUUCUCUCCGGAAGCUCCAAAGUAGCUUUCCUCUUGAACUACUUUAGUUUUGAACUAGAAAUUCUGAAUGAAGAAGGCUGAUAUUUAUAGUGAAAGUUUCUACCUAGGUUUAGGCUAAAAGUGCGGGAUUUACCCAAAAAUAAUAACAGGAAAGGACCAAUGUGCCCUGAGUUUUCAGAUGUGCUAGGCACAUUGGUCAUGUGCUAGGCACAAUGUUCAUGUGUUUGGAACAUUGUUCAUGUGCUAGACACAUUGGUCAUGUGCUAGGCGCAUAAGGUCUUUCCCGGGCCCAAAUUCUCCGAUUUUCCGUUAUUUUAGGUCUUCAUCUUCAAAUAACUUUCCUCAGGAAUAGGGAACAUAAUUCCUCCCUAUUGUAAGUCUUCUGAGGCCUCUUGAAUCUUCAUUCUUUUCUUCCUAAGGUCUUGACAAUUCUUCAGUUUUUCAUGCUUUUCUUGUUGUUUAAGCUUGCUUGUGAACUCCAAAUAUCAUGAAUUUACAUUAAAAAUUACGUAAUGACAAUAUGUCAUCAAAGUCCUCAAGGAGAGGAGUAAAAUUUUAGACUUAUGUUUCCAUGUAAAUUGUAAUCUUGUGUGAAUAUAGUGGAAAUAUCUGUCAAGUGUGGAGAAACAAGACAUAAUUCUGAUUUUGGGGUGAACGAGGAUAAAUAUAUGUGUCUAUCUUUUCUCCGUUUAUCUUUUGCAUCAUGUGAUAUGUUUUUCAAAGAUUGUGGAUUAAUGGUAUGUUUGGUAUCUUAUUUUUUACAUGCCUUCGAUUGUUCUAUGAAUGUAAACUCAUUCAAGUAUUUAAGAGGUUACACCCACACCUAUGGUGGGUAAACAUACGACGAUUAUAAUUUUAUUUUUUUAAAUUGUCAUCGGUUGAUCAUUGCAAUAAAAUACCACUAGAAAUUUAUAUUAUUGUUUAAAGACUUGAUAAUUAUGGUGCACUAGGUAUUAUUUUUUUUAGGAAGGUGCACUAGGUAAUUUUAGUGAAUGCUUUUUCUAUUCAUAUUUUCUUUAAACUAAUAUAGUUAACUUAUCUGCUAAUUUGAGUUAAAUUGUUAAACUUUUAGGAUUUAAACAAGAACGUUAACGUUGUUCUUGGAUCUAGAUCUUAGAUUAGGGUGGUGAAAUUUACAUUCUCUCACAAAUUUAACAUCUAAUAUCAUAAUCAAGUUUGACAUAUGAGCAUACAUCGAAUCUCAUAGAUUCCAAGAUCAUAAAGCUAAAAUUUGUUUAAGAUGACAAAAAUUUUGUCAUAUUUUCUUUGUUUAAAUUAAAGUGUUUUUAAUGCGAUAAAGCGAAAGACAAACUCUCAUUCGAGAGUUAGUUUUUCUUUAAGUUUAUUAAGUAGAGCAUGUAUUGGUUUUGAUGAUUUAUUAUAAUUUUUUUUAUUAAAUCUUUAUAUAAUACCUAUGUCCCUAUUUAUAAGAUUGUUUCACAAAAAUAUUCAUAAUUAAUUGUAGAGAAUUAAAAACCAACUAUUUAUCUCUCAUAAUAAUUAAAGAAUAAUCUUUAAAAGAGAUUGCACGUUGUUGGCAAAUUUAAUGUAAAAAUAUAUUUUUUUUUAAAUAAUUUUUUUAUCCAACCCUAAUGCCAAAAAAAUGAAACAUUUGACCCCCUUUCAAAAUUAUAUACCAAAAUGACUCACUUUGGGAAUUUUUGUUGUUUUGUCCUUUUCCCCAUUACCGCCGUUUCAUUUGGCGGUAAUGGGCUGCUUUUUCUGCGCCCGUCAGAGCCCAUCACUUCAUGUCUUUUUUUUUUAAUUUUUUUUUAUUCAUUACCGCCAUUUGGUUUGGCUGUAAUGCUUUUUUAUUCACCCUCUGACUUUGAACAAAGCUUAACCCUUCCACCAACUACAACUACAACUAAAUUUACCAAUCACCACCACAACCCACAAACCAAUUCUUACAAAACUCUCAAAUUCCAUAUCCAACCGACUCUGAACAUAGUCAUCAUGGAGAAAGCUCCCAAAUAUCAAACUAUUCAUUUGAUGACUUUUAUCCAACCUAAAACACCCCACAAAUCAGUAUCCCAAACCAACCACAAUACUCUUCUUUCAAACAAUGUACACUAUUCCCAAACAAAGUUCGUACCCCAAUGGCCACAUACCAGUACCAUAGAAAAUCUAGCUGCAGGGUUUAACGAAGAUGAUUUCGUUAAUGAAAUUUGAACGAACUCUGUUCCACAAGUGCAAAAUGAAGUCACUAUGGAAAAUAAUGAUGUUGAAAUUCAAAAUGUGGUGGCGGAAGAGGAACAACCAGAGGUAGAGGAAGAGCAAGACCAACGACCCAUACGAAGAAAAAAAGAUAAAUUAUGUGCUAUAGGAAGUCAUAAUUUAAAUUUAGGUUGGCGUAAAUGGAUACCAUGGAAAAAAUAGUUUUUAUUUUUAUUUCUAAGACUUAUGAAUAAUAUAAUUAGUGUAUUUAAAUUAAAAAUUUAAUAUUUAUUACAAUUAAUAUUUAAUUUAAAAUACAUAUAUUGUGUCCAAAAAAAAAUGAAAAAAAAAAAUCCAUUACGGCCAAAAAUCAAAUGGCUGUAAUGAAUAAAAAAAUAAAAUAAUAAAAAGACAUGAAGUGAUGGGCUCUGACGCACGCAGAAAAAGCAGCCCAUUACCGCCAAAUAAAACGGCGGUAAUGGGAAAAACAAAAAAAACUUUCCCAAAGUAGGUGAUUUUUGUAUAUAAUUUUAAAAGGGGUCAAAUGUUUCAUUUUCUUUUUUGGAAUUAGGGUCAGAAAAAAAAAUAUUUAAUUCUUGUGAUUUUAUCAAAAAGGCCUAAUAUAUAGGGCAAAGAUAAUAAAAUGUAUUGUUUUUGAUGAUUUAUUAAAUUAAUCCUAAAAAAAAGAUUUAUAGACAAAACAAUAUUAUAUAACCCUUUUUUUUCCUUUAUUAGAUAGCUUCAUCGAGUGUGCUUGUGAGCUUAGCUCAGUUUGUAAGGUCGAUGUAUAAUCUAUGCAAGGUCCGGAUUCAAACUCGACCAUCAAAAAAAGAAAAAAUAACUUCAUCGAGUAGUACCCUCAACAACUUUAAUUUAAUUAUUAUUCUUUUAAUUCUUGUGAUUUUAUCAAAAAGGUCUAAUAUAUAGGAACAAAGAUAAUAACAUGUAUUGCUUUUGAUGAUUUAUUAAAUUAAUCCUAAAAAUUGAUUUAUAGAUAAAACAAUAAUAUAUAACCCUUAUUUUUCCUUCAUUAGAUAGCUUCAUCGAGUGUUCUUGCAGGGCCGGAUUUGAAUAGGGCAUCGUGUGGCAAGUGCCACACCAAUUUUUUUUAUUUUUUUAUUAGUAUACUUUAUAGUUUUCAUAUAAUAAUACAAACAUCUUUUAUUUUUAUACAUGUGUUUAUAUUUUUAUUCAUAUAUUAAUAUAGGAAUCUAUUAUUUUUAAUAUAUACAUGUGUCCGUAUUUUUACUCGUAUAUUAGAAGGAGAUCAUUUCUUUUAAUUUUUACAUGUGUAUAUACUUUAACUUAUAAGGGAUUGAUUUUAUUUUUAAUUAAUACACAUGUCUAUAAUUUUACUCGUAUUUAAUACAUAAAUAAUGUUUUGUACAAUUUGUUCAUCUGUUAUAUUUUCAUUCAUAUAUCAAUUCAGAGAUUUUUAUUUUUAUUUUUAAUUGCUACGCAAUUGCGACUUGCUUCCAAGAAAAAAAAGAGCAACACGUUUAACAUACGUAUGCAUGGGUAUUCUGCUAGAGCAUUUUUUUUUUUUUGGUUACAAUGCUAAACAAAAACAAAAAGAAACAGAAAAACAGACAGAAAAUAAAACAGAACUAGCGCCUUAGGAAAAGCGUCCCUACUUCAUCCGCUUGUAGAAAAGGGAGAAGGUCUCUGGAGGGCUGUUGUGAAUUGUAAAAGCCUCAUUAUUCGAAGCUCCAAGCUUGGCCAAGCAAUCGGCACACUGAUUACCUUCGCGUAAAGAGUGGUGAAGGGAGUAGUUUCUCGGAUUGAGGAGAUCUUUGAUAUUCUGAAUAAGUACAGCGUAAACAUGGAACUGAUUUAACUCUUCCUUGACCAGAUUGACAGUGAGAAGGGAAUUCGAAUAGCAAGCCACUUCAUCAUAAUUUAAGCCAAUAGCUAAGGUGAUGUCGUGAUAGAGUGCUGAGAGCUCUGCGAAAAGAAUAUCUUGAGAGUGAUUAAUAUCUCCCGAGAAAGCCGAGAUGAAGCCUCCAGUGUUGUUCCGGAUAACACCGCCGUAACCUGUUCUGAUAGGAUCGCCACUGCAGCUGCCAUCUACGUUUAGGAUUAUGCAUUGGAAGUUGUUGUUAUUCCAUCGAAUGAACCUGUCCAACGUAGGUGCAGAAGGCGUGCUGUUGUAGGCUGUAUUAAUGGAUACCUUCAGACUGUCAAUGUUGCUGCAGAGCUGGGGUAAUGGUAGAGUUUCAUUACCUAGACACAUGAGAUUGCGUUGUCUCCAAAUCCACCAUAGGCCGGAUAGAAAUAAGGUUGAACAAGAAGAAGACGCACCGUCGUGUAACCAUAUGUGCACCGCAUUGGUUGAGAAGAAAUUAUGGUUGAAGAAGCCGAUUUUUUCCCAGACAACCUUUGAAAAGCGACAGUCCCGCAAGCAAUGAAACAAAGUUUCAUCAUUUUCACCGCAUCUGGUGCACAAAGGUGAAGUAACCAUGUUUCUGUGAUAUAACAAUUGUAAUGUGGGUACAGCUUCGUGACACGCUAACCAAACCAAGAAUUUGAAUUUUUCCGGCACUUUCAAUCUCCAAAUCCAGCUCCAAGAUUUACAGUUCAGAACUUCCGCUGAUUGGCGUGAGAUUAACUAACUAUAACCACUGCUAGUUGAAUAGGUUCCAUUUUUGUUUUGGGGCCAAAUGAAAGCGUCUUCAAUUGAUGGGUUGAAGUUUAAACGGAUGUUGUUAAUAACUUCUGCUAGGUUAGGUGGGAGAAUGGUGUAGAUGGAUUGUGUGUGGUUACCGUUGUUGGUGAUAACAUCUUGAACAGUGAGUUGAAUAUCAUGUAUAUCAACAUACGGAACAUGAGAACCAAGAGUGCCAAGCGCGCUCCAAUUACUGUACCAAAAAGAGGUGCUGCCUGAUCCUGCUCUCCAGACAUAUCCAUUUUUGAGUACAUUUUUAGCACGGAUUAUGGAAGACCAGUUGGGAGAGCUAUUAUGUUUAGCUGAUGCAUUGAAAAGGAAAUCCGGACCACUAGAAUAAAUAUUGGAAAGAAGAUUCACCCAAAGUUUAUCAUUUUUUUGAACCAAAUUCCAAACAAGUUUACCAAGAAAACUGGUAUUUGCUUCCCUUGCUGCUCGAAUUCCUAGACCCCCAAAUUGUUUUGGAGCAGCAAUUUUUUUCCAAUUAACGAGGUGAACGCCCCUGUUAUUGUUGCCUUUCCAAAUAAAAUUACGAGUGACUUGAUUGAUGUUGUCGCAAAUGUUUUGUGGAAGCUAAUUAAUCUGCAUAUAAUAUGUUGGGAUGGAAGAUAGUAUAGAUGAAGCGAGGGUCAAUCUGCCUGCUUUGUUGAGGAGCUUACCUUUCCAAGAAGCCAACCUAUUCUGCAUUUUUUCAAUGAUGAAAGAGAAAUCACUUCUCUUUGGACGCCCCUUGAGUAUAGGAAAACCUAGGUAUUUAUCCAAAGAUGUGGUGCUACGGAUUCCGGAGAUAGUAGUGAGCUUGUGGAUCUUGGCUUGGGGGACUCCAUUAGAGAAAAAAGAACGAGACUUUGUUAAAUUGAUUUUUAAACCAGACGCGAUGCUGAAUUCUUCAAACAAUUCUGAUACCACUUUAAAUUGGGAGCUUUUUGCCUUGGUGAAUAGAAGCACAUCAUCCGCAAAUAAAAGAUGAGAUAAAAACGGCCCGGUGUUGUUAAUACGGAUUGGCUCCCAUCUCCUUUAUGGAGAAACUUCCAAUUAACAUUAUCAAAGUCUUUUUCAAGAUCCAGUUUGAAAGCCACAUACCCUUUCUUCUUUUUGGUUUUCCUCAUGAAGUGUACUAUUUCCUGUAAAACAAUCGAAUUGUCAAUGGUGCCCCUACCAGGUAGAAAACUACUUUGAUAGGGGCCAAUGAUAACAUUAAGAAUUGGUCUGAGGUUGUGAACCAAGACUUUAGUGAUGAGUUUGUAAGCAAUAUUGCAGAGGCUAAUGGUUUAAAGUCUUUAAAAGUGAUGGGGGGUCGGUCUUGGGAAUGAGGGAAAUGAGAGUAUCAGAGAUGUUUGGAUCAAAAGUACCAGUUUGGAAAGCAGAUUGGACCAUAUGAAAAAUGUCAUCUCCAAUAAUGUGCCAAUAUUGCUUAAAAAAUAUACAUUGGAAGCCAUCUGGUCCAGGAGCUUUGUAGGGUUUCAUUGUAUGGAGGGCGGCUAGAACCUCAAUCUUGGUGACGGGCUUGGUGAGGGAAGAAGCGCCUAGUUCAUCGACAGUUGGAUGUGUGCCAAUGUUAAAGGUGCGGUUAUGAUGAGGUUGGCUUUUAGUAAAAAAAUCUUUGAAAUAUUUAUGGGCUUCAUCUUGGAGAGUGUCACAAUCUGUGGACCAAAACCCAUUUGGGAGUUGGAGGCUGUGGAUUUUGUUUUUCUUUCUGCGGAUAAUGGUUUGGGUAUGGUAGAAGGAAGUGUUUUUAUCACCAAAUUUAAACCACAUAUCUCUGGAUUUUUGAUACCAAAGCAUCUCUUCUUGAUAAAGAAUGUGAUUGUAUUCUUGCUGAAGUUCUUUUUCUAAGAGAGUGUGUCUAAGAGAAUCCAUUCUUUCAAAAUAGUUUUGAACCCCUUUCAGCCUGCUCUCCACAUGUCUUUUUCUUUUAAAAAUAUUGCCAAAGAUUUCAUGGUUAAAAAUGAUAGAAUUAUCUUUGACAAUAUUUAAAGCUGAAAUGGUAUCAUGGUUGGCAGAGUUCCAAGAGUCUCUUACCAGGCUCUCAUAGUCUUUGUGAUCAAUCCAAGCGGCUUCAAAGCGAAACGGUCUGGGUCCUCUAACCAGUGGGAGGCCACCAAAACGGAGGAGAAGGGGAUUGUGAUCAGAGUGAAGCCUACAAAGAACUUCGACAAAAGCUUCAGGGAAGUGCAUGCGCCAAUCUACAUUUUCCAUACCGCGAUCAAGUUUUUUGGAAAGAAUUCUAAGCCCAUUGAAAUUGCGAUGCCAAGUAUAGCGGGCUCCAGUUGUGGUGAUGUCAAGCAGGUUGCAAUUAUCCAUAAGAUUCGAGAACAUUGCUGCUCUAUUUUGGUGGAAGAUGCCCCCUCUCUGCUCUAUUUUGUCGAGCAUUAUUGUUUUGUGCCCCUCUGAUAUUCCAAGAGAGGAUUGAAACAUCUAGAAGUGCUUCCAUAAAAAUAAUGAAGGAAGAUAGGACACUGAUUCAAGAGAUAUUAGGUAAUCAUGUCCUCCUUAGUGUCGCUGGAGGCCUCAUGUUUUCCUUCUGAUGUUUCGUGAGCUUGCAUAGAUUGAAGAUUGUCUUGGCUACCCAUGGCUUCGUCUUCCAAAUCUUGCACAUCAAGUUCAUAAGUGCCACUGCAAUUUGCAUGCUGCUUAGGAGUAUUAAUUUGUGGGGUAGGAGUUAUGGGGUUGUUGUUAAGUGGGGGGGUAGCCGAGUCUGGUUGGCUCAAGUGGGGUGGGUCUAUAGUUGUUUUCUUAUGGUUUACUUGUGUGAGGUUAGUGACGUCAGGUAUGACCUUAUCAAGGACAGGUUUAUGAAGGCUUUUGUGAAGGCUUUUAGUUGUCUGCUGUGUUGGUCUACUAAGAAUGGCUUUAGGAGUGAUACUUAGGUUUUGAAUGAUUAUGUCAUCAUUAUCAUUGUUAUGCCUGCGCCGUUUUAGGUCAGUUGAGUUUUUUGUAUUUUGUGGGAUCACAUGGAGGCUAGGCCUUGAGGGGUAGCUGUUCGGUUUCGAUUGGUGGGCCGUGUUAGUCAGGACAGAGAAUUUGUUGGCUUUGUUUUGGCUAUCGUUUUUAGAAUGGGUUGACUGUUGGAUGUUGGCUGGUUUUUUCCUCCUAGAAACUAGGAGCCAAUCCCCAUGUAGCUCUUGUGUCCCUUCAUUAAUAGUAAUAACGCCUCCAUUAAGAAUUGAUUCAUCCUCGUUAAUGGCAUUUAUUUCAUUUCCGUUACUGUUUUGCGACAUUGAAUUGUUGGAAAUGGUGGCUGGCUCACGCUGAGAAUGGUGGCUGUUUUCUUGUUGGGUGGCGGCGGUUGGGUGGUGGUGAGGGUUGGAUGUGGCAGUUUUGGUUGGCUUGACGCUGCAGCUUCUUCCCAGAUGACCGUAGCAACCACAAUUAGUACAGAUUAAGUGUAAUCCUUUCAUACUGAAUCUUAUACCAAUGUCCGUUAAUCCAAAUUUUUCCCACUACUGGCACUGUAAGAUCCACUUCUACACAAACACGGGCGAAUUUUCCUCUUUCAACUUUUAGUGUAUUAGUGUAUACCUUUAUCGGGCGGCCAAUAGCAGAGGCCAUUGCCAGUAAGAAGCUUUCAUCAUAAUAGACUAAAUUUAGGCCAGGAAAACGUACCCAAACAACUGUCCGUUCAACUUUGGCUUUUGGUGAUGCAAAUUCUGGUGACCAGUGAGUGACAGCCAAACAAUGGUCGAAAAUCAUCCAAGGUCCUCCGGUUAUGACUUUCUCCUUAUCUCCUUAUUCUGCUAGAGCAUUUGAUUGAUCUCUUGUAACGUCUUUAUUAAAUUUAAUAUUAUUUAAUUAUUUUUUAAAAAAAAAUUUGCCCCACUGAUAUUGUUGUGAGUCCAGAUCCGCUCCUCAACACAGAAAAAGUAGCUUCAUCAAGUAGUACCCUCAACAACCUUAAUAUAAUUAUUAUUUUUUAACAGUAUCGGUAGUUAAAUUCCAUCUCUUUCUUGCCGAGUACCCGCACUCGUUAGUUAGGCUUGUUUGUAGUAGUACUUGUAAUCAUUGAUGUAUUUAUUUUCCUUUUAAAUAAUCAAACAGCCGUAAAUAAACGCGGUCCAAUCUUUCCCAAUAAAACCAAUCAUUAUUAUAACUCUUUUUUCCAAAUACACCUCUCUUCCUUCUUUGCUUUAUCACUUUUUCGUUUCUAUUCAAUCCACUGCCUAAUUUUGAGUCUUAAAAUCAUUUAUUCUAAAAAAAUUCUCUUUGAAAAUGCGUUUUGCAACAAAAUAUCAAGGUUCUUCAAUUCUGAAUCUACGUGCCACACAAGUUCACUCAAUGGAAAAUUCAACCUUAGAUAAAGAACUUAGUUUGUUUCAAAAACAUGUAACUGAUAGGUUCAAUGAGCUAUCUUUAGUUUCAAAUGAUAAUUUGUUAUCCCUUUCUUGGGUUAGUAAGCUUCUUGACACAUUCCUUUGUUGCCAAGAGGAAUUCAAGAUGAUUCUACACAACCAUAGAUCAAUGGUUUGUAAACCUCCGUUGGAUCGAUUGGUGAAUGAUUUUUAUGAGAUGAGUGUCAAGGCAUUGGAUGUAUGUAAUGCUAUUAGAGACGGUGUUGAACAAAUUCGACAAUGGGAAAAAUCGUUAGAGAUUGUUCUUUGUGCAUUGGAUAAUAAAAGAAUC
rnacentral:lncRNA from 1 species